CGGGGUGUAGCUCAGCCUGGCAGAGCACACGGUUUGGGGCCGUGGGGCCGACAGUUCGAAUCUGUCCACCCCGACCA
rnacentral:tRNA from 1 species